rnacentral:rRNA from 1 species
CAGGCUUAACACAUGCAAGUCGAGGGGCAUCAGGAAGAAAGCUUGCUUUCUUUGCUGGCGACCGGCGCACGGGUGAGUAACACGUAUCCAACCUGCCCUUUACUCGGGGAUAGCCUUUCGAAAGAAAGAUUAAUACCCGAUAGCAUAAUGAUUCCGCAUGGUUUCAUUAUUAAAGGAUUCCGGUAAAGGAUGGGGAUGCGUUCCAUUAGGUUGUUGGUGAGGUAACGGCCCACCAAGCCUUCGAUGGAUAGGGGUUCUGAGAGGAAGGUCCCCCACAUUGGAACUGAGACACGGUCCAAACUCCUACGGGAGGCAGCAGUGAGGAAUAUUGGUCAAUGGGCGCUAGCCUGAACCAGCCAAGUAGCGUGAAGGAUGAAGGCUCUAUGGGUCGUAAACUUCUUUUAUAUAAGAAUAAAGUGCAGUAUGUAUACUGUUUUGUAUGUAUUAUAUGAAUAAGGAUCGGCUAACUCCGUGCCAGCAGCCGCGGUAAUACGGAGGAUCCGAGCGUUAUCCGGAUUUAUUGGGUUUAAAGGGAGCGUAGGUGGACUGGUAAGUCAGUUGUGAAAGUUUGCGGCUCAACCGUAAAAUUGCAGUUGAUACUGUCAGUCUUGAGUACAGUAGAGGUGGGCGGAAUUCGUGGUGUAGCGGUGAAAUGCUUAGAUAUCACGAAGAACUCCGAUUGCGAAGGCAGCUCACUGGACUGCAACUGACACUGAUGCUCGAAAGUGUGGGUAUCAAACAGGAUUAGAUACCCUGGUAGUCCACACAGUAAACGAUGAAUACUCGCUGUUUGCGAUAUACAGUAAGCGGCCAAGCGAAAGCAUUAAGUAUUCCACCUGGGGAGUACGCCGGCAACGGUGAAACUCAAAGGAAUUGACGGGGGCCCGCACAAGCGGAGGAACAUGUGGUUUAAUUCGAUGAUACGCGAGGAACCUUACCCGGGCUUAAAUUGCAGUGGAAUGAUGUGGAAACAUGUCAGUGAGCAAUCACCGCUGUGAAGGUGCUGCAUGGUUGUCGUCAGCUCGUGCCGUGAGGUGUCGGCUUAAGUGCCAUAACGAGCGCAACCCUUAUCUUUAGUUACUAACAGGUUAUGCUGAGGACUCUAGAGAGACUGCCGUCGUAAGAUGUGAGGAAGGUGGGGAUGACGUCAAAUCAGCACGGCCCUUACGUCCGGGGCUACGCACGUGUUACAAUGGGGGGUACAGAAGGCAGCUAGCGGGUGACCGUAUGCUAAUCCCAAAAUCCUCUCUCAGUUCGGAUCGAAGUCUGCAACCCGACUUCGUGAAGCUGGAUUCGCUAGUAAUCGCGCAUCAGCCACGGCGCGGUGAAUACGUUCCCGGGCCUUGUACACACCGCCCGUCAAGCCAUGGGAGCCGGGGGUACCUGAAGUACGUAACCGCAAGGAUCGUCCUAGGGUAAAACUGGUGACUGGGGC